rnacentral:rRNA from 1 species
UACGUAGGGUCCGAGCGUUGUCCGGAAUUAUUGGGCGUAAAGAGCUCGUAGGCGGUUUGUCGCGUCUGCUGUGAAAUCCCGAGGCUCAACCUCGGGCCUGCAGUGGGUACGGGCAGACUGGAGUGCGGUAGGGGAGAAUGGAAUUCCUGGUGUAGCGGUGAAAUGCGCAGAUAUCAGGAGGAACACCAAUGGCGAAGGCAGCUCGCUGGAACGGUACUGACGCUGAGGCGCGAAAGCGUGGGGAGCGAACAGG